GACGAACGCUGGCGGCGUGCUUAACACAUGCAAGUCGAACGGUGAAGCGCCUUCCUUUUUGGUGGGUGUGGAUGAGUGGCAAACGGGUGAGUAACACGUGAGUAACCUGCCCCCUUCUUCUGGAUAACCGCAUGAAAGUGUGGCUAAUACGGGAUAUUCUGGGUCUGUCGCAUGAUGGGUCUGGGAAAGAUAUUGUUUCGGUGGGGGAUGGGCUCGCGGCCUAUCAGCUUGUUGGUGGGGUGAUGGCCUACCAAGGCGGUGACGGGUAGCCGGCCUGAGAGGGUGGACGGUCACACUGGGACUGAGACACGGCCCAGACUCCUACGGGAGGCAGCAGUGGGGAAUAUUGCGCAAUGGGCGCAAGCCUGAUGCAGCGACGCCGCGUGAGGGAUGGAGGCCUUCGGGUUGUGAACCUCUUUCGCCAGUGAAGCAGGCCUGCCUCGUUUGUGGGUGGGUUGACGGUAGCUGGAUAAGAAGCGCCGGCUAACUACGUG
rnacentral:rRNA from 1 species